AAUAAUAAAUGGCCCGAUGGGGCUUUUUCUUUGGACCUGCAUCGUUGGGUGCACCUUACAAGUAACUAUUUGGCUUCUUUUACUCACAGAACUCCAUGUCAGGUCUGUGGGGAAGAACUACAAGACAGCG
ensembl:snoRNA